rnacentral:lncRNA from 1 species
UGAAUGUGUAGCUGAUUGACUAGAAAAUCUAAGUAAUACAGAAACAAGUUAUUGACCUCUCUUGUUAUCUAAAGAAACAUUUCUUUCCCUUUGCAACUUCCCGACACCAAUCUGUGCAAUGUCACCUUGCCAGAGAGCAAAUAUUUCUCCAAAUGAUGCACAGUGCCAAACAAAACUCUUCAAGCAUUCAAGGAAAGACAUGAGAACAUCAGAUAGCAGCAUCUGCCAUCACCAGUCCUGGCUAACCUCAAUGUUCUACAAGGAGCAUUUUUCACUCUAAAAGCAUGAUACGCUCUAUUGCUGCAGGUAGCAGUUGCAGAAAUCUGUAAAUACCCAAGAAAAAUUCACAAUAUAAAAUCAUUUGUUAGACAUGCAGUAGUAAAUGUUGAUUAAUCUUAUCUAUGCACACUGUUUCUCUUUGUUUCCAACAGAUGACAUUAGAUGAAUCUGAAACAUCCUUGUUUUUAGUGUGUUCUUCCUCAAAAAACUAGAACGAUUGAAAUGCAUUCAGCACAGUUAUUUUCUCCCAAGCAAAUAUUAUUUUGCUGAAAUAUCUGCUAUAUUGUCUCAGUAAGAAAAAUCAAACUCCCAACAAGAAAUCUAAUCAAACAAAACAAAAACAACGAAAUCAAACACUACAAUGACUGAUAGCGGAAGAAAGCCAGAAGGCAUAGAUAGUGGUGCUCAUAUUCUAUGGGUGUUAGAAGAGUCUGUCAUGCCGAUUCUACAGCAUUCAGAACGAGGAAUUUUUUUAUAAUCACAGCACCAAGAAUCUGCACACCGAAAUACAACAGAUAUCAAAACUCCCACCUAAACCAUAUAACUCAUCAAAGAUCUUCCUUUUAUGACAACUACCACAUCCUCUAUGGAUCCCCAUGUCAAAGACAUACUUAGAAUCAAGAAAUGGAUUCUAUAAGCACGGCCAUACCAGUAAUUAAAAAUAUCAAAUAAAAUCCGAAUAAAAUUAUUGGCGAGCGUAACCCAAGAACCGAUCUUUAUCGAUAAAUUCUGAGCAAACAAUGUCUGAUAUAUACGGAAAGAUAGAAGGCAGAGAGGUGCUCAUAUUCUAUGGGUGUUAGAAGAGUCUGUCAUGCCGAUUCUACAGCAUUCAGAACGAGGAAUUUUUUAUAAUCACAGCACCAAGAAUCAGAGUACCAAAUUACCACAGUAAUGAAGGACUCCUAUCUCGAUCAUAUAAUUCCCCAAGGAUCUUCCUUUCACGUCAACUACAUUAUCCUAUAGAGAUCCCCGAAUAAAAGAUAUAUUAGAAUCACGAAACGAAAUCGAUAGUCACGGCCAUACUAGUUCUUGAAGAAAAAAAUAAAACAAAAUCCCUAAAAAUUCAUUGGCGAGAGCAACCAAAGAAACGAUCUUUAUCGACAAUCUUUGGGGAAACAAUGAGAUCUAUAAUCACGGCGAUAAUUCGUGAAGGAGAAGAAGAAAAGGAAAUCAUAUAGAGACAUAAAAAUUUAGAGGCGGGCGUAACCCAAAAACCAAUCUUGAUCAGUGAGUUUAGGGCUUUAAACGCCUCCGAUCCAUAUGGGAGCCGAAGGACAAGCCGGCGCCAUCGAUCUCAGAAGCGAUGAGCGGACUGACAAGGCAACGACUCCCGUAGAAGUAAUCCAAAGACAAAAAGCGAAGAAAUUUCUGAAGAAGCAUUGCAUAUUGAAGAAGUGAAAACGACGGCGCCUGCGCUCACCAAAGGCGCAGACCGAUCGAUUUGGUUGCAGUGGCGUAGAUCUCGUCCUUUAUAUAGGCAAAACGUAACCCUAGAUUCUAUUCGACAGGUGUCCAUCUAUUAUUGGUUGAAUCGGCAUCUCUUAGUUGGGCUGGGAAAACCUUCCAUGGCCUGCAAUGUUGGGCUCAGUGAUGGGGAUGGCAACGAGGGUUCAGGUGGCAGUUGAAACCACCUCAACGUUAGGGUUUACGAUUGCAUGAGGUUUUUCUCCUAAGAUUUAACCAUAGAAAUCUCUUUUAUAUAUAUAUAUAUAUAUAUAGUUUUAUUUAAAUAUUUUAAGAUUAAGAUCCAUUUUAAUCCUUUUCAUUUUGAUCUUGAUUUGAUCGUAUAUAAAAUAACAUUUAUAUUUUAAAAAACAUAGCAUAUUAGUUCCUUCUAUCAAGUUUGAGUUAAAAGACGUUAGAGCGUACUUGCAUGGUAUGCCAACUCAUAAUAAAUAAUUAAUAUAAUAACAUAUAUGAUUUAAAUUUUAAAAAAAAGUUAAGAUCUAUUUUAGCCCAUGUAGUCUUGGCCUUGAACUACUUAAAUCCUUAUGGUUUAUUCAUGUCUAUAAUAACCCCUAUAUUUUUAAAAAUAUAGCAUAUAAGUCCCUCUCGUUAAGUUUGAGUUAACAGAUGUUAAAAUUUACUUAAGUGAUAUGUUGACUCACAAUAAACUAUUAAUAUAAUGAUACAUGUAAUUUAAGUUUAAAAAAAAACCAAGAUCAUCAUCAAUGACAAGAGGAUGCAUUAUCUUGAAAGCGACCACUAGUAGCAGCAUCGAGCCGCUGUUGCCUAGCAGGCGUCGUACACAUGCAUCCUCUCCCGCACUAACAACUAGCUUAGGAGUUUCCGAUCCUAUCUUAGGUGGAUGUGCGUUGACCAGUUCGACACUAAGCACAUAGUGAUCUCCUAAUUCAUCUUUCUCCUCCUGGGCGUCUUCGUCUCCACCGCCUUCCACUUCGUCUUCUCUUGUGCCCCCACCUGCUAUGCCUAUGACGUGGUGAUCUAACUUUUCCUCACAUUCAUCUUCGACCUCUCCUAUAUCUAUCUCUUUACGUUCGUCCAUCGUUAUAACCUUCGUCGCUUCCUCUUCCUCGACAAGAUAGAUCUUAAUACUUUUUUAAACUUAAAUUAUAUAUGUUAUUAUAUUAAUAAUUUUAUUAUGAAUUAGCAUGACAUAUAAACAAACUCUAAUGUUUGUUAACUUACACUUGAUGAGAUAGACUUACAUACUACGUUUUUGAAAAUGUAUGAGUUAUUUAGAUAUAAGUACACUAUAAGGGUUUAAUUGGUCUAUGAUCAAAAUCACAUAAGCUAAAAUAGACCUUAGUUCUUUUUAAAAUUUUAAUUAUAUAUAUUAUUAUAUUAAUAAUUUAUUGUCAGUCGGCUUGCCAAACAAAGAGACUCUAACACAUGUUAACUCAAAUUUGAUGGGAUAGACUUAUAUGUUAUAUUUUUUAAAAUAUAUAAGUUAUUUUAGAUACGAGUAAACCAUAAGAGUUUAGGUUGUCUAUGACCAAAAUCACAUUGACUAAAAUAUAUAUAAAUCUAAUUUCAAAGAUAACGCGCUAAUAGAUUUAGAAUCCUAAACACUUUUUGUCUUCAUCAGGCCAGACAAAAUUAGCUGACUUAGUUGACUAAUUAGGCCUUCACGUAUUGAUCAAAUUCCCAAGAUGAGAAAAUUGAUGUGUCAUUAAUUUAUCACAUAAAUUAUUUUGGUGAGGAAAAGAUGAGAUUCCACAUGAGAUUGUUAAGGAAAUUGCUUGAGUUAGACUUCCAGAUAGGCUGCUGUGGAAACCAACAUCACAACUCAUUAAGAAAGUUCAAUACUUUGACACGGUUAUUUGUCUUGAUCACAGAUCAAUUUCCACUUCUUCUAGUCGAUGUUGAUCUCCUUAUUUCUCUAUAGUUUCUUGAGCAAAUCUAUAUGAACAUGCUUGCUUGACUGGAUUGCAUCAGGUUGUAAUCUAUUAAUGCUGCACUUGCCGUCCUCCAUUAAAAUAGUUGCCGGAGAAGUUUGUUUGUUUCCAUGGCUAAUCCGAGUUUGGCUGCUGACACACAUCUCUGCAGCACCAACGAUGUUUAAUGCUCUGUACUUUUGUUCGACCUGUGAGCAUGAAUCAGAUGAAGUAAUUUGGCUCUCUUUUUGUUCAGCAUUUAUGAUCACAAACAACUGGCGGAUGCACGGAUGCAGCAUUCACUUCACCGCGUUCUUCCCAUUAAUCAACAGAAGAUUAAUGCAUUUUAAUUGAGACACAUUCUACUAUUAUUCUCAGAGACUCGGUCAAACCCUCCAUUCAACCUUCUCUCGAUCAAGUCUUCCCUUGGCUUGUCAGGAGUCACAUUUCCACCGGACAAAGCAAUCCACAAACGAAGACUUACACUAUAUGUGCGGUCUUCCAUCUCACUUUCAGUGCCGAACAAAUUCCUCCUCCAUCUUCUCUCCCUCAUGCUUUCCAUUGUCGAAUUCUCAAAGCCAUAGAGACCGGUAGAGAAAAUAGUGCAUGAAAAGCUCCUCUAUAAGUGCACCACUUCUCCUCCUGUAACCCAACACCGGAGCAAGAAGACCAUGAGCCUCCACAAGUCCCACUCCCUGGUGAACAUCCCCUUCUCGUGGGAGAACCAGCCGGGGAUCUCCAAGAUCACUCCACAUGCAGAGGAGAGCUCUGCACAAGAACAUGUCAGGCUGCCGCCGCCGCCGUGCCAAUCCGAUAGCCCGAAGCUGUCGGUGCACGGCAUAUACGUGCCUCUUCCGCCCUGCGCUUUCCAGCCGCCUCCGCGACAGGUUCUGACGAAGAAGGAGGAGGGGGAAGACCCCUUCCUUGCAGCCUACAGGGAGUGCACCAGGAGCAGGAAACAGGGGACGGCAGCCACGGAGAGGAAGAGAGAUGUUUGGGCUGUGCUCGAGAGGUUUGGGCUUGGGUUGUCUUGCAGGAGCAGCUCUGGGGUCAGGGAGGGUGCCAUACUGAGGUUGAAGGAGCAAAAAAGGGUUCUUGCCACCUCCAAGGGGAAGAAUUACAUCUUUUGAUCCCUUGCAACACUAGUCUUUUUCUUGAUACAAAAUACAGGCAACAAUUACAUCUUCAAGGAGUUGUGAUCAUGUGAGAUUACAAUGAUAUUUUUACAAAUGGAUAUUUGAUGAAGAACUAACUGUAUGAGUAAAUAUUUGAUGAAGUGCAAUCCAAAGAACAAAAAGGAAGAAAUGUGGUUUUCUUUCUUUGUUGGCUACAAAUGAAUGCCUUGAAUAGUUUUUUUCUGGUCCAAGUCAAAUCUUCACUUGUUUUAGUUUCUAAAGUGUGAUUUGGUGUGUUAAUUUAGUUUCUUGGAUUCUGAGUGGAUACCAAAUUAUAAGAUGCACUAAUGACAUUUUGUCUAUUAGUUUGUGUUGGGCUACCACCUCAACUGUCUUCUGAGACUGAUGCUUUGUAUACAUAUAUGGAAGCACACACAUCCAAAGGAACAGACAAAUAGGAAGGCCCCAUAUGUCGCCUUCCCUCUAUAAAAAAUAAAGAAGAGUCAUUUGUUCUUCACAAGUGCACAAACUAUAAUUCCUGAUGCUAUUAUUGUAUUCCCCAACAACAGUCAUUUGUUCCUCACUGCAUGCAUGAACUUUGAUCCAUGAAGUUUGGUGCAGCAUUUUAGAGUUUGAGUUGAAAAGAUGUCAAUGGCUCAGAGGCUAAGAUGUUGCAGAAUUCUGAUGUCUCAUGUAUGUAUCAGAAUGAAUCCUCAGGUGUACCUUCUGGUUUUGUUCCGACUUCUCUCAUCCAAAGAUGUCUUCUUCUUCGCCACAAGAAACAAAUAGCCCAUGGUAAGAUCUUGCAGAACACCCAUGUCUCUCUUCCUCCUCCGUAACAUCCACCGGAAAACAAUAACUCAGGCCAACAUCAUGUAGAAUACUAAUGUCUCGUGUACCUGACUGAAUCUUGAAAGCCAGUAAGCAAAGAAGUCUGAUGGCUUUUCACUUUCACCGAACUGGAAAUGGAGACGAGAUGAGAUGAGAUUCGAGAGUCGAGGGCGCAGAUUUCACAAGCUCGAAUCAUAGGGAACUCUUCCGUGGCACAACAGCGGCAACACAAUCGCUUUAAUCAUGUAUUUUAGACUGGUCUAAGGGAUCAACAUCAUCGUGCAUCCUUCUUCGAUCGUCUGUAAUUAAUAUGCACAUGGUUUGAUAGAACCGUGGACCAUGACAUGUCCAAAUAACUCUGUUACGCUGGACCAUCGCACCUCCAAAUAACUCUGUUCCACCUACCAGCCAUUGCAGCAGCAGCAGUACAACAUGGCUCUCUCGAGUGGAAACUCCCAUGUCUCUGCCAUCCUCUGCCCUAAGCAUCACUCAUCAGCAACCCCUCUCUCUCUCUCUCUCUCUCUCUUCUCUACAUGCUGGACGAAAUGCGAAUUGCACAUCAAAUCAUUCUGCAAUUUCGAGUCACUUAAAUUCCAUUAUGUGGUCCUUAAUACCGCCAAUUACGCCUUGAAUUGCCAUCACAUUCUGACAUGCUUGUGAUGAACUGUAACACCACCAAGUUUUUCUGAUGCUUAUCGCAUAAAUCUUCAAUCGUAACCAAAAGUACAUGACACUUAUUCUUCUUAGACUCAGCAUACAAUAACCUUAAACAGGUAUUACAAUAGACUAGUAAUCCAUCAUUGGUUCUGAAGCAAUCCAGUAGACUGCAAGCGAGCAGCUGAUGAAGCAAGGAUUUGUGUCUUCCUGUGGCGUGCAUUAUGUUCAGAGAUUUGCUACUGUAAGCGAGUAAAUUUCACAUGGCGCUGAUGAAUAGAAUCAACAUCUUUCCAAGGUGGAGUGACGAUGAAGAACAUCGAGCACAGCUUCUUCGCUGAUCUCCUCAAAGAUGAUCUGUUCGAUCUCAGCCCCAACCUCUCCUAUCUCAUGCCGAAAGUGGCUCCAUUCUUUCCUGGACUCGGAGAAAUCGACAUCUAUCAACUGGGAUAUAUUGGCCAAAGCACAUCCUCGACUCUCCCGUGACAGGAUCAUCAUCCCCUCCUCGGUGAUCUUCCCACUCCUCUCUGGACUUGGGCAUUCGUGAGAUUUUGAGAGCCUUCCUUCUACCUCCUUCAGCCAGUCUGACAGAAAACGGUGUGGGUGAAGGAACUGGGUCCUUGUGUUGGGGUGCUCUUCCAAGCCGAUCCAUGGAGCUUCCUUUGUGUCCUUGGGUGAAUCAAAACCUGAGGUUGAUGGCACCUCUUCCUCAACUGCAAACGAAGAACACAAGGGAGAAGCAUAUCAUUCGGUGAAACAAAAGAGACAAAUGUACCUAAAAUCCACAUGGAAGUAAUCAGACAAGACAGACAAAGAUCAAUGCUGCGUGCAAAGAGGAGGAGAAACAACCUUCAUCAGAAUGCAGCUCGAGGACUGACACAGGGCUGCGCUGAUCGGAGCCGCCCAUAGCUCUCCACUGCUCCUCUCUGUCCGGAUCACCUUCGUCGGUGCCACAGGAACAAGACAGCCGGCGGAACUCCACAGCAUUGUUCUUGCCCUUCAUCUCGAAGAACGAUCUCAAGACAUUCCAUCUUCCGAUGCCAAUAGCUCCACCAUCCCACCUCCAAGCUUUCCUGAUCACCUUGCCGUAGACAACUUUGUUCAGCAGACACCUCAGAAGUCCGGUUCUCUUCCUCCUGCAGCCAUGGGUGCUGAACCUUCUCAGCCGCCUACAAGCACCGCCAUGCCAGCACAUGAAUGCAGCAGCACUGGGAUUCAUUGCUCUAUCCGAGUACCCAUGCUCCAAGAGGUAGACAUCCAGAAGAAAAGGCUCUUGUUGCUCUUCCAGCAGCUCAAAGAGCCUCCUACCAUGAAGCAUUGGCUUGGGAACAGAAGCCAUUCGUCUCCAGACUCCAGACUCCAGACUCCAAGGAAGAAGAGAGGAAUGGCCUAAAUAUCAAAAGGGAAGACGAAGAUGGAUGGAGAAGAAGAAGAAGAAGAAGCAGAUGCCCAUUCCCUGCAAAUGUAUGCGAAGUAAGAACCCAGCCAAACCCGGAAGGAAGGAGUCACAAGCCUUUAAUCUGGACAUUCCGCACUGAGCCCUGAAACAAAAACAUCAUUCUCUGCACUGAAAACCAGCUCACAGGCGGUGAUUGGAAGGCUGAUGCUCUGAUGAAACAUGCAAUGACCAAAUGCCCAAAACCUGGCCAAAAGAGAGUUUUGGCAAGUAUCCAGUCGUCCCCACUUGGUUGUUGGGUAGUAGGAGCAACCAUGUGUCCAUGACAAGAGGGAGUGGCAGUAGAAAAGAUUGAACUGAUUUGUUGUUGGGAUUUGUGUCUGGUGGUAAUGGUGGCUUGGCUUCUACUCUCAAAGCAGUACGACGCAUGUCAUGGGUGGGUGGGUUGUGUCUACCAUUAUGGAAGAGGAAGUCUUCAGGGUUUCAAAGCCAUCUUCUUCUUCUUCCCCAGAGUCCAAACACUGUUUCUACCUUUCAACCUCGAGUCCAAGAACAUCUGCACCUUUUCCCGCGAACAAUCACUCCCACCUCUCUUUAAAUAUACUUAGUCUUAGCUACAGUAAUAGUGACACAUGUACAUGAAAAGGUGAUGAAAAAAGCUAAAGAGAACAACUGCUUGGGAUGGAACACCAUCUCCUAAAGUGGCCAACAGAUCAACCAAUUAAAUAUACCUUAAAUCUGCACUCCUGACAAAGUCAAUGAUGAUGAGAGUUGUGAAAGAUUUCUUUGUUAGAUUGACUCCCUUGAAUCAUGUUAUCUCUUGAUUGAUGCAAGUCUUGCACUCUGAUAUGAGGCUUAUUUUCUGUUUGGCAUCAUGUCCACCACCAGCAGACCAUCACAAAUCCACAUAAACUGUUCAUCAAAGCAAGUCCUUGCUAAUUAAUGCUGCUAAGCUGAUUGCUUUGCCCCCUCAAGAACAUCUGGGUGGGCUAUGCCACCAUGUAGCUAUUGUUUUCUUUUAAUCAUUUAGCAGACACAUGGAAUUAGAGCUGACAUGCAACUCCCUGUACAUUACCAGGAAUCCAUUUAGGAAUAUAUAUAUAUAUCAUAAAAUAUAAAAGAAUUAUUUCCUCAGUGCACAUGAUUCUUGAAUGUCCUUUUAUUGAGGAAAGACAAUGGGGGUGGAGAAGGAAACCAGGAUUACUUCUUGAAUUCAAAGAUUACAUCAAGAUGUCUUCUUGCAAGUGUUGAACUUGCAGAAAUCAAGGAGUGUAUAUAAUUAAGAAGGACUUGACUGCUGUUAAGAUCUGCAGCCUUUUAACUCUUUUCUUUACAGUCUUUGCUGAGGAUUAAAAGCAUGAAAAAAAAAGGGAGAGACUUUAUUCUGACCCCCAUCUCAUGUAACUUCUGACUUCAAAGGCAAUUUGAUCUCCCUCUGCAGCAAACUACUACUUUAUGACACAAGCAACAGAAGUAAAUAACAAAGUUAAAAAGGAGGAGGAAAAGGGAACACUACAUUUAUUGGGAGCAAAAAGAACAACUUCACCAUAAAGCAACUGCAUCAAAAGGAAAGGAAACAACUUUUGAUUUCUCAAAGACAAAAUAUAAAUAAAUUGGUCUAUGCACUUAUGGUUACAAAAGUUUUAUAUAUACUUACAAAACUAAAACAAUUAUGAAUUUGCCUUUGUAGAUAGUCAUGUCAACUAAUUGACAUCAUCUAUGCACUCCUCAAGACUUUUCUGUGAUGACAAGAAUGUUAAAAGGUUUAGAUAUUUUGUGUUUUUGUCUUUCAAACUCAAACUAACUACUAUGAUAGUGAUUAACAUCUUAAUAUUUGAAGGGAUAAUUAUGCAUAAUUUUUUUUAGGACAAAUAUAUUAUUUCUGAACUUUGAAAAAGACAUGAGUAGAGGUGUAGAACCUCAAAAAAAUGAAAAUAGAAAGAAAAAAAAAAUCUAUGGCUGUUGUGAGAGAAUGAUAACUAUCUUCUCCACCAGAGGCUGGCAUUGGAUCUAAAAUUAAGCUUUUGAAAUGUCUCAACCCAUGAAACUAUAUUUUUUUUAGUACAUAAGUUGCUUACUUAAAAUUCAAUGUUAAUUACCUCAAAAUGACUAAUUACCUCAAAAUGUUAAUUACCUCAAAAUGACUUACUUAAAAUUCAAUGUUAAUUACCUCAAAAUGACUAAUUAUUUCUUUUAAAAAAAAGGACUAAUUAUUGUAGGAUAUAGUUUCACAAAUUAAAAAACAUUAUGGUAACCCGUUUACCCGUUACCCGUUUCCCUACCUCGUUCGCGUGUCAUCUGUGAGCAGCUCGAACGCACGAGGGCCGAGUUUUAUGCGCGGCGUGGCCGAGGAGCCAACGAGAGGUCCACGCAGCGUGGGAUCCACUUGCGGGCUCCAUCCGCGGGAAAUAAUAGCAAGGGGGAGAGGGGACAGAGAAGCGGGUCCCACGGAUAUAGGCCAUGGAGUACGCCGUGGUGGAGGCGGUGGGUGAACCCACGCCGAGUUUGAUGCUGACGUCAGGAUGAAGUUGGCGCGUUGAGAUUCGUACAAUCGUCUAAGAAGGGCUCAGAUGCGCCCGAUGGCCAAGUCAAGCAUAACCACGAGACAGUCUUAAUGACGUCUUAUUAAGGGAUAAUUAUUACAUUAUGAGUACAUGACAGCCUGCUCAGGAGAUGCUGACACAGCAUAGAAAUUAAGCUUAAUUUUUCUCUUUUUUUCCUCAUAUCUUUUUUCAAAAUAAUCGUUAUAUAUACCUCGGAAAUUGAAUAAUCGAAAACAUUGGAUCGACUACAUCAAAACUCUUGGUUCAUGAGUUUGGCAGUGUUCUUCCCCUGCUAAAAACUGUCGAUCCUCUAAUGGAAUAAAGUUAUACAAGUGGUGAAUUCUUCAAGAUGGAAAAGUAGAAGAGCCAUGAUCAUGGCAUGUCUUUUGAGCAAACAUGAUUCUGUCAUACUUGCACACACAACUUGAGCAGAUAGAAACCUCAAUUUAGCGACAGUAGCUAACUUAUAUGAUUUAGAACACUAUUAUUGAAAGCAACUCUCCAAAGAGAGAGUUCUCUAUCCUUCAAAGGCUCCAGAUUACAAAAAGAGAGAGUUCUUUAUCCUUUGCCUUUAUUUUUCUUUUAUGUCAUCACAUUCUUUUCCUUUGAUCACAUGUAGCUUCAGCUAUAGAAUUCAAUAGCAGCAAAAAGAGAGAUUAUUACCCAGCAAAAUGGGUUCCUUCAAUAUGGAAAGCUUCCUGUGAAUUUGAUAUGGUCGAGAGUACGUCUGAGACCAUACCGAUUGACUGCUCUGGUUGCUGCUCUAUAACCAGCUCCAUAUACCGGCGAAGCAUCCGCUUCUAUUUCGUGUUUGAAACACUCUCCCAGCUUUCUCUCGGACUGAGUUCGAGCACCUUUUUUCGACGGCCUGGUAGUCGAAGAGGAUGAUGAGGUGGAGGCAACAUUACUAGCUGAACCUGCAACAAUCUCAGAAUCCAACCACAUUUGAGCCAGCACCUGGCAGAUGCCUUCUUCAACUUCUAGACUGAGAGAUCCAUAUCCUGCAAACUCAGGAUGGAGUAACAUCAGGCGCUACAAUAAUAUCUAUCGAUAUAACCUCAUGAAUCACCCAAGAUUGACACUGGAGGUAGUAUGCAGCUAGUGAAGAUUGACGGAACAAGAAAACCAAGACAGAUCACAAAUAAUUUGUAAUGGCUACUGUUUCUCUAUCCUAAUUUUAGUAAUUCUGCUAUUGUGUAGAUAUUCAGAUGACAAUAAUAUAACAUAUAAUUGAAAAUGUUCUACAAAUGAUAAAGCAUUUAUCAUAAUUCAUAUCUGAUAAAUCUAUCAUUCUAUACCACUUUGGCAACUACGAGUUAAAUUGAACUUAAGGAUAUAAGUUGCAAAUAAUUUUAUCAAAUAUUAUUUAAUCUAAUUUAUACAAAAACAGUUCAUUAAUAAUAAAAUAAUAAUAUUAAUAAUUAUUCAAUAUUAAUUAGUAUAAAAAUACUCAAGAUGACUAUAAUCAUGAUAAAACAUAAAUCACGUAUUUAUGUAAAAACAAAUAUUAUUUCAUAAUUUUAAAUGUAUGCAUGUAAAUAAUUACACAAAUAUCCAAGAACAAAAAUUGGAAUUUAAAUAUCAUAAGCAAAAAUUUUACUAAUAUGUCAUAAAAGAAAACUACAAAAUAAAACCGUAAUUUAUAAGUUUUUUUUUAAUUCUGUAAAUGACAUAAAUGAGUCGAUGAAUCAUAUUUAAUUGGACAUCCCAAAAUUAAGUCAAAAUUGGACUGCUCAGAUUAGACCCAACAUCCAACCCAAUUAAACCAAUCAAAAUUGGGUUCAGUCAAAAAAAUCCAAUGUAGAAACUGAUUGAUAAAAAAUCAAGCUAAAAUUAGGCUUCGACCAAAAUUUGAUUAAAGUAGAUCAAAUUGGUCAAUUCUAUAAUUAAGGAUAUAAGUAAAAAAAAUUAUUUUCGAAGGGCAAAACUAUAAUUUGUUGGGAUAUAUAUUAAAAAUAUUUGAUUUUUGAAGGGUAGAACUGUCACGGGGACACUGACUAGAAUUAAAAAAAAUUCAAAAGAGUAAAAUAAUCUUUUAAUAGGUGAAAAAACUCGUAGCCUGGCCUGCGCAAGGCCUAUGACCGUCACGGUGCACAGUCGUCUACUGCUGCAUGCCACAUGCUUGAACACCUCCACGGUCAAUCGAUCUUUAAUGGCAACCAACGCUAUUCAGUGACGCAACGUAGCCGUUGCCCAUCGACCACCGUUCACAGCUAAUCCCUCAUCGACGUUCCAUUCCCACGCACGAAUAUCACCACCGCACGAGUCCUUAUUGGUCGUGCAUCCUUACAACGACAUCUUCUUCGCAGGGUCACCAUCCGUCGUUGCUACACAGCAUUUGGCCACCACGCAACCAUUGGGCGACCCACAUCAGUAGCGCCGGUGUUCACGCUCAACCAAUGGCCCCUACGUAGCCGCUAUGAACCCCGACCUUCAUCGUUGCCAAUGAUGCUGGCCGUAGCUAACAAACAUUGUCAUAGCUUCUGCCUUUCCCAACGACAUGUUUGCUAUGCAGUUAUCGAUUAAAGGCAGCGCCCAAUAGGGCUGCUGCCUUCUUGGACUACCUCACACAAUGGCACCACUACAUGUGUAGUGCCGCCUGCAGCUAAAUCCUACCCCCACAGGCAACAGCGAUGCCAACCAAGGCUGCUGUUGCCCACGGUGGCAACUGUCGCACGUAAUGGCAUCGUCGCAGCACUUCCACUGCCACGGCUGCUGCACAUAGUAGUUUCUGACUGCAGCAGUUGCCCAUCCAGUCUAUGGCCGACGACCAAUGGAGGUCGUCGCCCUUAAUAGUGCUAUCGCUGACAAGCUGCAACGACGAUUGACCGAUCAAACACGAGCAACAUGUCGUCCCUAGCUCUACCUGCGUAAGGCGAGGAACCUUGCAACGCCUGCAAGCAAGCGACAAGACGAACGAGAUAAGAAAGCGAAUCAAUAACACAGACGGAUCAUUCAAGCAUCGUACAAUCAAAAUUGAAUAGCACCUUUUCCGCAAGCGAAAGGUGCUAAUAAAUAGAUCUAAUAUACGUUUAUGAUCUAAGGUAUUUGAUUUCAAAACAACUUGCUUUGAUACCAAUUGUAAGAUAAAAAUUGUAAUCAUGCUUCUGUUAUGUGAAAAAAUUUUAAUAUGAAGAACUGAAAUCAAAUAACCAUAGAUCGAAAUUUAGAUGUACGUACAUUUCGAUGUCAUUCAGAAAACCUUUAUCUGAUCUGCAAACGCAUCAUCAUCCGAUCCAAAAGCUACAGUGAUUCCAAUUUGUAAGAACUAAACUCACCUUCUUCUUUCUUCCUAUUUUUUCACAAGAACACUAUAAGUGAUGCAAUAGAGAUUAAGGGGAGAUGAGAAAAGAUAUGUAAUCUCUCUUUUAUGUGUUGUCAUGUGUUGAGUCCCUAGAAGACCCUAUCUAUAUAUAGGCGAGAGCAAAGGGUCUAGGAUAAGUAAUUAGGAAAGUUCCUCUCAUCAAGGUCAUCUCCUAAGAAAUCCUAUUAUAAUUGGACUUCCUUUCUAUUAGCCGAUAACUGUAAUCAAAAUCCAAUGAGAUCUAUAAUAUAUCUUAUCUAAUUAAACAGGAUCAUAUAAUCUAACAAAUAAGCGUGUUAAGGCUAGCUUUUCAUUGGACAAGUAAGACUAGCAACCCACUGAUGAUGAAGUAUAAUCCUUUUGGUCAUUGUUUACAUAGCGUUGCUACAUUGUCCUAUUCUCGUGCUCCAUUAAUAUAUGGAAUCAUACUUACAAUGCUAGCAUGAGUUGCCAAAAUUAUAAAAAAAAGCAAACUGUACACAACAAAAACACAUCUGUGAGCAUAGAAUGAGUUGCAUACCAUUAAGGCGUAGCCAUGCAUGCAUCAUCUCAUGAGCCAAUAUCGACCCUGUUAGUAAUCUGCAAGAGAGAACUCAAAUAUUAAAGCAAAGUUUGCAUGGGAAGAUGCAAUAAUUUACUAGUUUUGCUAGUGUGAUACUAAAUAAAUAGAAACUUAACACCAUUUUUUCCAAGGAGAAUAUAUUUGACAAGAAUAUCUUUUUUUUGUCUUAGAAUCUGGAAAAAAGAAAAGAAUCAGAGUUGAAUGUGUAGCUAGGAUAAUUUAGCUGAAAAGUGACAGAAUCUUAAGAAAAUGCUAGCAGGGAAGGCAUCUAAGCUAACAAAAGUAGAUUGGAUAGUGGAAAAUAAAUCGAAAGAUACCUUGGUAGACCAUACAGUAUAAGAAUUGCUGUGACAUCACACCGUCUGAUCAAUCUAUAUGGCCCUGUUAUCAUAUCUGUAAGUCUGUGUCCAGACCCCAUUAUUGGCCUUCUCAAAACCUAAUGAUUGUAUUUUCACCAGUGAUUAUGACAUUCAAUAAAAAUAUUAACAUAAUUCACUCAUAAAACCACUAGCAAACUGAGAAUAACAGUUCUAAAACUGAGAACUCUUACAGUUCUAACAAUCUUCUCCUCAGAAAGACAGAGACCUCUAGUUUCAGGGAGGCGAUGAUGCCCCUGUCCUCAGAAGUAUAUGAAAAGACUGUUAUUACCAAAAUUCUAAAGGAACAAAGUGCAUGCUGUUUAACUCCAAAGUUUUAUUCUUUGACUUACAUUCAUUUCACCAUCCAUAGCUUCAUUUAGAGCUUGUCGCUCAACUAGAAGGAGCGGAAUCUGCUGUUCCACUUUCAUAUAUAAACCUUCAUAGAAUUCUUUUAUGCCGAGGUAAAGGGGUUGGCACUCACUUGUGUCCAUUAUUGCAAAAUUAAGACACUCAAGACAAAGCUUCCGACCAUCAUCCAAAGUAACAUAUUUCGUGUCCCUUGGCUGAAGCUCGGCAUAAGUAAAAGACAAAGAGAAAGAGCACAACUAAGCAUACAAUAUAAGGCACUUGAACAUAAAUAAACAAUAGCAGAAUCGACCUUGGUAGUCUUUUAAUAGUAUUAUGCUUCACGAUACAACUAAUUUUGGAUCGACAAUAACUAUUGUAAAAUGCAGAGAAAUUAUGGAGCGAGUAUCUUUUACCAACCUCCAUUCUUUCACAACUGCAGCACAUAGGAGUGCCAUCACGCUCAUGUAAAGGACAAUACCUUUGCCCCCAAAAAGGAUGAGCCCGGUAUUCGAUAUGGCCAUCUCUUAUCGCAGGGAUCUGCAGAAAAGGUCAUUAUGAUGUAUCCACAUUUCAGAGAUUCAGGGGAGAAGGUUCCAGUUAAGGACAUAAAUAACAUGAACAAAGUUAAACUGGUUGAAUUAUUUUAGGCUUGCAUAACAGUCAGGUGCUGACUUAUAUCAAAAAACUGUGUGUGGACUAUGUAGUAUGUACAAGUAUGAAACUUAGAACCCAAGAGUUGUAAUAUGUGAUUUUCACAAUUGUUAUGCUACCAUGACUACAGAUUACUUCUGUACAUGGAAAGAAGGUUAAAAAUAUUUCUGGUAUCGUCAAAUUGGUGUAAGCACAAAGCUUCAUAGAAGUGUCUAAAAUACUUGGUUAUAAAUGCCAUCUACCAAAAUCAGGGAGCAGGUAGCUAAUUAAUUUUUGUUAUUUUUUUCCUAAGAAAUCUAGCCACUUAAAAGAGAUGAAGGUUUUUCAAAGUAAUUUGAGGAGCCUUCGGUACCCUUAAGAAUUAAGAUAACAGUUUAUUUUCAUGAAAGCAAUAAAAAAUAGAACUAUAUAUACAUGCAAUGGAAAUCAUCCAUAUGCUUUACUCACCGGUCACGCCUUCAAGAAAUAAGCAGCCAAUAACUAAAAGGCCAACAAUAAACAAUAACAAAAGGGCGGGCCUUGGUACAAUGGUGAGAUUGUUUUGUUCCUUUGUUAGAGUGAGCCUUGGUACAAUCGUAAAGUUGCUUCUUUGCAACCUGGGAGACUAGUUUGAGAAAUAAGACUACUUACAUUGAUUCUCCCCGGAUCCUAUAUUGGCAGGAGCCUCAUGUAUUAGGUAUGCCAUACAAUAAAUAAAAACAACUCGCUUAUAGAACACUUGGAUAUUUUCAACUGCUUCUGCAUAUAUGUCUCUUAGAUGCAUACAUGAUCUCUCGUUUCUCAUAGUUGAAUAUAACCCCUAUUCCAUAUAGUUUUAUAGUGUUGUUCUUUCCAUGACAAUCAUCGCAAGUCAGUCGAAAUAUUAUAUGCAUCUAAUACGAUAGUUUUUUUUGUUAUUGUUUCAUAUAGAUAAAUUGCAUAUACUCACUAAGAGUGCUGUUUUCAGUAGAAAUAUAGAAAUAAAUACUUACAUACUGCUUGCAGACAGCACAUUUUGGGUGGUAGAGUUUCCUAUAGCAAGAUUUGUGAUAAGGACGAUUUUCGUACAAAGAUAACUGCAUCAGACAAGCCAAUGAGAUUUAACAGAACCCAAAAAUGACAACAAUGACAGUCAAUUCUUCACCUCAUAGUCAGUUAUUGGUUUAUUGCACCCAUGGCAACGGAGACACUCUGGAUGCCAUACAGCACCCAUGGUACUCAAAGAUUGACCACGACCAACUUCUUUAUUGCAUCCAGCACAUCUCCUAACCAGAUAUAAGAUCAAGGAAGUUAGUUAUGCAUCUUAAAAUAUAAAGUUACGAUUUCUCAAAAAAAUGAAGCACCUAGCUUUCCUCUACUGAUCUUAAGCUGCAGGAUCUGAUCCAGAAUGGAUGGAUACUGAGAACUGAAUACACAAUAGAUUAUUUAAGAGAAUAUUACAGAACCCUUAAAAUUUUUGCCUACAAUAUGAAGUUAAUUUCUUAAAAGAUGGUCAAGUUGGUGACAUAUGGGAUUGCAACAUGAUCAUACGACACUGGUAGUUUGUACUAAUGUUUACCCAUAUGACAAGUAAUUUGAGCUACAUGGGCUGCUGCCAGCCUGUAUAUUGUGUCUGCCACUGACAUAAAUGGUCUCACACUGCCAUUUCUUUAACAAUGUCUAAUGUCCAUGUCCAUGAAUUCAGAACAAUAAUGCAAUGUUGCAUAGUGCAGCAUGCUGCCUCAUGACUACACAUACUAUGGUGUGUCGAUCCUUGGUUCCUUGCAGCAGCUGUUUCUCUACACACCGUGGAGAGAAACCUUCAGGGAUUGCUUGCCAAGAGAUUAUGGAUGGGGAAGAAAAGGUUAACCCCCUAGGUAUUAGUUGUCUGAGACCACCUUAAACAGGAAUGUGGGAUCUUUCAAAUCAAACUGAUAAAGCAGAUAAUUUUCAAACUCUUAACAGAUGAUAUCUUCUAAUAAAGAACUUGAUCCAAAUACAGAUCUUGAUCUUUCCAAGGUUCAAAAUAAAUAGAAAGCCUAUCGCAGAUAUCUCAAAAACAAAAGCUUCCCUUCAAUUCUUCAAGACAAACUGAUAACUAAUGAUACCUGGUUGAACUCAUCAUUCUUUGUCAUGAUUUAUUAUGGAACUAAUGAUAACAUAAGAGAAAUGAAAUGAAAUGACAAAUAGGCAAAUAAUUCUAAAACAAGUACCUGGAGACUGAAGGAAAGGAAAAUGGAUUAGGUUGACAAAUUUGGCCAUUUUGACGGGGUGGAUAUUCAGCAUUCAAACUUUCUUGUAAAGCCUUUGCAAGCUGUUCGUCUUCCUCCAGAAGAGAUUUGUCUAAAGAAAAGAAACAUAUGAUGUUUUAAAGAAAAUAAUAUAAUUAUAAAAAGAAGAAAAAGAUUAUAUGAAGACCUGAGGCAACUUCCAUGUUCUGAAGCUAAGAGGGUUAUAAAGUGCACUAAGUCAUGCUAUUGGCAGAAAGGUAGGAAUGAAAGAGAUAUAACAUAAAGUAGAUCAUAGAGAAGAACCAUCUGAAUCCAUGAAGUGAGUUAAUCAGACAGCGAUGGUUGAAUAGGCUUUAUAAUAAAUUUAAUUACUAACAAAGAUGGUUUUCAGCAGAUCAGUUUGUGGAGACAAUAGUAAUGUAAACCAUAGGGUCCUAACUAGAGAAUACAUAAUUAAAGGCCUUCUGACAAGCAGAAAAUCCAUAUGGGAAUGUGAUAUACUAAGAUUACCAUGCAAGCUUGUUGAACAUAUUUUUUUGUUGCUAAGUUUCUCAAUUCCCUGACUGCCUCAGUAGCAUAUGCAUAAAUAUCUAAAAACAAAGACAUUGCAGAUGAGCUAAUUUUUUAGAAUGUUACAGUUAAGAUAGCGGCAGUUAUGUUUCUGAUGAAGUCCCACAACUGGAAGUUCCUUUUUACAAAAAACCAACAGUUGCUCCACAAAAGAAAAAGAAAGAAAGGUCCCUCGGUUGUAAACCAUAGUGGUUAAUAAAUUAUGAGCUUCACUGUUAUCACUUCUGUCACUGGCUAGCCAUCCUGUGCUCUUUGUUGACAAAAGGGCACUAAGUUUGAUAUUAUUCUUCUCAUUUCCUUCCUAUCCCCCAAGCAAAUCAUUUAUAUGUUAUUUCUUAUUUUCCACAGAGUUUGUCAUGUCUUCAACAUCUGGAUGUCAUUUCCCCUUUAUAAAUCAGUAAGUAGCAUAUCUGCUCUUCUCAAAGAUAAAAAUAAACAGAAAAAUGCUUUAAAAUGUUAAGUCUAGGAAAGUUCAAUAAAAUCCAAGAGCUUUUAUAAUGAUCAGAUCUUCAACAACAAUCUAGUUGUCUUUGCAUUACAUCCAUAAGCCAUUUGAAACAAUUAGCUCACACAAGAAAUGCAAAUGAACAGCUCAUUUUCUAUAGCAGUGCCAGAGUGCUAACCAACAGUUUUGCCUUUCUUCUGCUCUUCUUCUGAUAGUGAAAGUGCUAGAGCUUGAUCAAUGUCUUCGUCAUCAUACUCCCGCUGGAUACCCUAACAUCCAGAAUUUCCUGAGGUGUGAUUAGCAAUCAAAGAUACAGGAAUAGUAGCCUACUCAGAUUAUUUAGGCAUGGGGAUGUGGAAGAAAAUAAAUAUUAAGUACAUAAUAAAUGCACCGUGUAAGAUUGCAAUUACAACCUAGAUUAUUUAGAAACAAAUUUUGUCAUUGACAGCAUUAAAAAUUUUAUUCCAAAGAAAACAUUUAGAUUGCAUUAAAGAGAGAUCCUAUAGAGGACAAAGGCAGAAAGUUUUAGCAAAAGGGUUACCAAUGAACUAGAGGGUUUAUUCCAAAAGCCAUCAUCCGCAUGUCUUCCAUGGCACUGGCCAGCGGAAAAUUUCAAAUUUGAACCUUUAAAGAGUUUGUUUAACCAGAUCAUCGAGCCAGAUGUAAUUAUCGCUAGUAGAUUCUGCCUGCACAAAGUAUGCAAGACUUAGAAAACAAAAAAGUUAAAUCUAUACGCAAAAUGAUAAAUUAUCAUCAGAAUUUUGAUAUGUAGAACAUUUCCACAAAACAAAAAGGUUGAAUCUUCAGGUGAUAAAGGCCUUGAUUCAAACUCAUGUAUGCAUAAAACGAAAAACAGAAGAUCCUGAUUCAUAGUCACAUACCCAUAAGACAAAAAAGGGAACGUAAUAUAAGUUUACUACAGAAAAUUUCUCUGAGCAACAAGCCUCUCAUCUCUUAAAAUUAUGCCUAAUGGUAAGGAGCAAUGCUCGUUAGUUGCGGUAGGAGGACAAAAAUAUGCAAUAUUAUGCAAGAUGAAACCUUUAAACAUGCAGAACUAAGACCAACAACAACAAGAACAUACAAUCUGCAGCUGAUACUCCGAUACCAGCAGAGCAAAACACACACUGACCGGUUAAAGGUCUACUGAAAUCCACAAUAAUACGCGAGAAAUUUAGCUGAGGCUCACGACACCUUUGCAGUUCAAAGAAAAUGUCAACUUCUUAAUUGGCUAAAAACCCACAAUAAUACGCGAGAUAUCUAACUGAGGCUCACAAUACCUUUGCAGUUCAAAAACAAUGGCGACUUGUUAAUUGGCUAAAACCCCAAGAACUCAUUGUUCGUACAAUUCAUACCUCGGGAAGGGUUGCAAUUGAUGCCCAGAUCAAAUCAAUCCGGUAUCAUAUUCCCUUCUCCACAAGAGGGAACAAAAAGGAAUUGUUUUGUUCCAUUAGGUCAAGGUAAUUCUAAAAGAUCAAAAGAUGGUCGUGAACUUGAUUAUCUCAUCAGCGACCAAAGUCAAAAGAAAGACGAAUCUUUUUUUGUUUUUUCUCCUUCCUUUUCGUAUCACCAGAGUCAGAACCCAACACAAAAAGUGAUUUGCGAGGAAGACGACGUCGGACUCGGCAGUCCAAAGAGUCCAAAGAGAACUACUUUUCUACGGCUUUGAGCUUACCAGCUCCUCUGCCUGCGUCGACGGAGACAAAUGCCGCCACCUCCUAGGUUUUCUGGAGAGCGGAAUCGAGCUGGGAAAGUGAUUCUCGAGUAGCGAACUAGAGUGCGGCGUCUGCAAGGGAAGGAUCAAAAGGUGCGGUGGCCCCAAACACCCAUCUUUGAUUCUUUGCAGGAAGCAUAAAUGCUGCUGCUUCUGGAGGAAGCCUCGCCGUGCUGUGCGCAUCGCGUUCGCUGCCGGAAUCCGCUUGCACUUCACGCUGCACUCUUUAUAUGCCUGUGUGAUGAUGAAUAAGAAAAUUUACAAAUAGAUCCCUAAACUUCAAGUUUAUCCAAUUAAGACCCUAAACUUAAAUUACUUGAGUAAAAGAUUUUUUUCACUCAUAAUCUUGUUUAAGUAUAUCUCUUCUUCCUCCUCUCAUUCUCUAUGUGAUAAAAUGAUAUACCAAAUCUCCUAAAAUUUUAAUUGAAACAAUGAAAUAAGUUUAUAUUUUACCACAUGAAAAUUCUCUUAGGAUUUUUACAAAAUACAAAAAAAAAAGUGAAUAUAAUUAAUUGUCACUGGCAAGAAGACCUUUUCUAUGGUAUUAUGAAACACAUACAUGAAACUUGGAUAUCAAUACAAAACAAAAGCUUACUCCUAUAUAAAUCAUAUUCCAGGCUCACAUAUGAAGUCUCUCUUAGCAAUUGUUUGUUUUUCAUGUGAUAUUUGUGGCUAUAAUAGAUAGAUUUGGUCAUCUCACAUUAAGUUUGAAAUACUUUUAAGUAGGUUAAUAAGUGGUAAGUUGUGAAGUAUCAUAGCUAAUCCAUCCUGGGUUAAUCAGCAUGCAUAGUUAAUGAUGAAUAGUGUGAUUUGCUUAUCUUUGAAUCAAACAUUAGAAGUCGUGGGAAUUAUGCAAGUAUUUCUGCUGCAUGAAACCUCCAUUGUGAGAAGGAAUAUGCUUGAGAUUAAAGAUCAGAUUGCUGGGAUGCAGCCAUGUUGUAUUUGUUGACAUGAUACAAUCAUUUUGCUGCCAAUCCAGCUAUAUUAAACAUCAUUAUCACUUUAUAAGUCUUUCUGUAAAUUAUAGCUUUGUGUCAACAUAUUUUUCCUGACUCUACUCCACUAGUUUAUGUAAUCUUCCUUUCCAUUUCUCACCUCUUAUGUUUUUUCUUUGUUUGAAGGAAGUUGAGUUUCAUGAAUUCAGUAAAAAACUAAUAACUUUUUGAUCAAGUCUAAGUUCUUAUUUGCUAGUUUAUCUUUUUCUCUAUGAGAGCUCCUCAUUAUAUGUUUAAAUCAUCAUGUCUUAAUUACUUAAGAUCGACUAUAAACAUCUUUUCAAGUCAUUAAUUUCAUAUAAAAUAAUAUCUUUAGUUAAAUUAAUAAGAAGAUCAGAUGCUAGAAUACUUUUUGUGCCAUCAUUGCUGUGUUUUGCUUAUGGAAACUUGCUUUGGAGGCAGAUGAUGUCUGCUACAGUAGUCUGCAUCUGGGCAUCAGUUCAGUUCUGUGUGCUGCACAUCAUAGCCUAUCAUAUUUCAUUCUCAAGUAGAUGAUAGUGAACUGACACUACUGAAGAAUGGUGGAAUUGUUGUUGCUCUUUGAACAGGCAAAACAAAACUGUUCAAAAGAGAAUGAAAGGUAAUGCUUUCUUUGUGGAGGCUGUCUUUUUUUUGGGGAGGGGGAUGUUUCAUCACCCUGUUGAGAGUCUCCAGUAGAACACUAACUAUUAUAUCUUCUAAUCCAACUUAAUUUUAUGGCAAUAAUUUAAUAUAUCCACCGAAAUUAAAAAUGCAAGAAGAUUUGCAAUUGAAACUAUGUUUUAGGACAAGCAGAGAGAGAGGCUUUUAGAUCGAAAAACAUAUGUGAAACUCACAAAAAAUAAUUAUGAAAAAUAUUUAAAACAAUAAAUGUGUAUGUUAAAGAGGAAAAAUAUAUAUUGGGAGAAUAGAGAAGAAUAAUCAUGUUUCUUUGUGAUGCUUCAUCAUCUUGUGGCAAGCAUAGUGGCUCUGCAAUCCAAAAACAAAUGAGGAACUCAUUAGAAAAAUAUUUGAAACAUAGUGGUGUAAAUUAUCGAUAUUAAUAAAGGGUAUAAUAAAGGAUGAAUAUCUCUUGGAAGACAUACUAUAAAAUUAAAAUAAUACUUAAAGAAAUUAGCAUGGUCUUUGUGUAAAGGUGACAUACACAAAUUAAGAAAAGGUGCCAUUUUUUUUACUACUCUAUGAAAUACUUGUGUAAGUAGGUUUUAUGGUAAAUAUAGAGCUUUCCAAUUGAAAAAUAAAUGAGAAAUUUAUUAAAAAUAAUAUUUGAAAUAUAAUCUCAUAUCGAUGAAUAAUGGAAGGAUAUCGAUGUUAAUAAGUGUGCAUAUUAACAUCUCUUUGGAGGCAUCCAAUAAAAUUUGAUCAAUACAAAAGAGAUUAGCAUGGCCUCAUGACAACACACAAAUCGCGAAAUAAUCAAAAUAUUUUCUACUGCUAUAGAGAAUACUUGUUUGUAAGUAGGUUUAUUGACAAGCAUAAAUCUUCUCAAUUAAAUGAAAAAUAUGAUCUCACAAAGGCAUGCAUAGAGCUUGCUAAUUGAGAAACAAAUAAGACCUCUCACAAAAUUAUUAGAAAAAACAUCAGCAAUAUAGUCUCAAAUGGUUGAAAUAUAGUACUAUAUAGCAUUAUUAGAGAAAUUUUAAUUUUUUUUCUACUAUGCCGAAUAAUACCAUGGAGACAAAUAAUGCAAAGAUGUUGACACUUAACAAGUAUAAAGCUUUACAAUUGAAAAACAAAUGAGAAUUCAUAAAAAUAUUUAAAAAAAUUAAUAUAAUCCCAUAUUGAUGAAUGAUGAAACAAUGUUGACGUUAACAAGCAUGCAUGUUAAAAUAGUUCAAUCUCCCCUAUGCAAGAAUAACAUGCGAAAAUUGUGAAAUGGUUUAAUUUUUUUUACUACUCUGUGAAAUGGUUUAAAUUGUGAAAUGGAUGUUAACAUGCAAAGAUGUAUUUGAUAAGCUAAAAGGAGACAGCAUGAAGUAUAAGAGGUGGUCGUGCAUAGACCAUCCACAAAUGGCAUCCAUACAAAUGAUGCACAUGAGGAAUAAAGCAACACAUAGUAUGCACAAGGAUUCUCUUAUACAUAGCAAGAAAGUAAUAUCGCAGAAAGAAGCCAUUCUUUUCCACAACCAUUGAAAAUCCUGAAAGCCAUGCAGAAGGUUCACGGCACCAAAGAUUUGUAAUUACAGUAUGCAGACAAUCUCCGAGAGGUCCCAUUCAACUAAAAUCAAAACCCGAUGCAAAUUAACACUUUUGAAAUCAACUUGAUGAUAGAAAUAUUCAAAUAUCAUGUUUAAGUGCCAUGAAUGGAGAACAGUUCAAAACAACUGGCAUAUCAGAAUAGCAUGCAUGUGCACAUUCAGAUUCUGUGUCAUUUUUAGAUUUUGCACCAUUCUAAAGUAGGAAGACUUGAUUCAUACUCACAUAACAAAAGUUAGUUUGGUAAAGAAUAUUGGCAGAGUGAUAAAAAAGCAAUUAAUGCUUUAUCAUCUAUUACUUCCCAUUAAUCUAUAUUUAUCAAAGGACAUUUCACACUGAAAGAAACAAGAACACAUUUAGACUUGGCUAUCCAUGGACUAGAAAUACAAUAUAGUGAUACAUAAGAAAGCUAUAUCAAAUGUUAAAAGUUUCAUACAUGAAAUCAUGGGAGCCUGUACUCUUUGGGUUGCAGUUUUGCAGCUUUUUCUGUCUUCAUUUCAAAUGUUUCUUUUUGGCAAAGGAUGCUAAUAUUUGAACCCAUCACGGUUACAGAUGAUGCAGGAUACUUUAUAGCCUUCACUUGCUUGCUGGUGGUGUCAUUAGUCUGUAUUCUGCACGCAUUUGAAGGCCUAUGGAAGUUUCGAUAUACACUUAUUGAGACAAGAAAAAAAAACUAAAAAUUUCAUCUGCAUUGUAACAAAUUGUUCCCAGGAACAGAAUGUGAAUAAUGAUUUGUUAAAUUUAAUCUUCUCAUCUGUUACGACUCACAUCUAUAGUAUGUAUACAUUAUCUAAAUUUUGCAAUGACUUCAAAAACAUAUCAAUCAAGCUGGAAUAGAAUGUGCCAUGAUUUACUAUCUAUCACUUUACUCUAUCCAAGAAAAAAUAUAUACAAAAUAACAAAUAGGCAUUUAAACUGCAGCUAAGCAAGCAUUAAAAUCACGACACUUCAGUGGAUGAUGAAACUAAUCCAAAAGUAACAAAAGAAAUUCAAUUUUUUAUUCUGGCUGGAAAAGUUGGCCACUUCCAUGGGCAAGGCAAGCUCAUGAAUUUAGCUUUAAAACUAUGUUCAUCGUAUCCAAUCUCUUGAUGGAUUAUUUCCCAGAGAUUGUGUCUUAAAUCUUGGACAAUUCAAUCUCCGGGUUGGCCACCCAACAAGUCGACCUUUUUGAAAACAUCUCUGAAUCAUCUAAUAUCAUUAUAGAUCUGGCCUGCUGUUCGCACAUCUUAACACUUGCAUUUUCCAUUUACCAAUUCCCUUUUUCGUUAACUGGUAUGCACAGUCCCCAGAUUUCAUACAUUAUACCUACAUCAAACAGAAAUCUUAGUCUGAAACAUUACCUUCUUCUACCCUUCAUGCCCAAAUCAUGCAACAUUUACUUUCGUAUGAAUUUUUAUUUGUCUUGAAGAAAAUGUAAAAGAGACUUGCUAUUGAAUAUCAACACUUCUCAGCUGUUAAAAACACUCAAUCAGCAAUCUAUCUGCAUAUACCAAUAAUUAUAACAACUGCACCAGAUUACCUUCAAAUCCCAUACUGUCCAUUUUGGCACCAGCUAAUUUUGUCAGUUAGUGCUUUUAAAGAGGUGGAUUCUAUUUCGUCACAAUCAUCCAUCAUCAAAGUCACCAAUCACACUGCAGGAAUAAUCAAGGAUAAUUUAAUUUCUAGAUCAGACAAGCAAUAAGUUCUUUUAUUAAAUUUGAGUCAUGCCAGUGGACCACCAGUUCCUCAGGUACCAUGCUGCUCUGCUCAUGUGCACUAUCAUGACAAAUUGAGAAAAGCUCGAGAGACUGCAUUGCCAAACCAGAACUCGUGAGGGAACAUGCUUGUGCUGACAAAGCUGGCACAACAUGUCAUCUCAAUAAACUGUUACUUCAUGUGUUUUAGCACAGAUAAUAGUACCAUCAGCAGUAUAAUAUAUCCUAUUGGUUUGGAGACUGCAAAAAAUAUACAAUAAGGAUUCAAAUGGGUCUCCAAAUCACUUUUUUUAUAAGAGUUAUGCAUCUGCUAUGAGUCUUUUGCCUUUUUACCUAACGGUUGCUCCUCAAGAAUUAAUUUGUGUCUCAUAAAAGAAAACAUCCACCUUCAUAUCAACCAGAACUUCAAAUUUUUCUUUUUUAAUGUAGAUCUUCAAUUACUCUUGGGCAUAUUAUGCUAGUUUAAGUUCCAUUUUCAGGAAUCUGGCAUAUCAAAGGUACUGUGCAUCUAUAAAACUUAACUAGCAGGUUAAACAAUUUUAAUAGCCGAAUAAGCAAGGCACUUACAUUCAAUAGUUCUCUGCCACAGGUCUAGAAGGGAAAAGUCUUAGAAGAAAAGUCAUUAAAGACCACAGGCAAACAACACCAAGGAUUUGGAGAACGGCUAGCAUGGAAAUGAAUGCGCUACUUCUUUCCAUUACUGCAGUGUUCGUAGACGAUCCUCUCAUUAGAAACAAUAACCUUUCUAUAAAAUGUGCACCCUUGUUCAACUGAUACAGUCUAUAUACCUGCAAUAUAAAAUCAGUCCAAGUACUAGAAUUUGAAUCGGAAAAGGACUUCAAGACAGGAUCGUAACCGAUACCUCAAAGAUUAUUGGCAAUACAGGCCAACAAGAUGAAUUACGUCUGUCGAGGUGUGUCUCAAAUGCAUAUUGUGCAGCACAACCCAUCAGAAAUGGAGCAACGGCAACCACAGCAGGGAGACCAAUCACUGGCCAAACAACAUAGGCCGCAAGAAGAGGAGCAAACACCUUGAAACCCAUGGUGAAGAAAGCCGAGGACAGGUAGCCUCUGAGGCCGGUGAUAAGGCUCCAUCUUUUCGGGCUGAAGUCAAGAUAUGGGCGUUGUACAUGAUCAGUUACUGACAGAAAUGCAGCAAGCCCGACAUAGAAUAUGGCCUCUGAAGACAAUGAGGCGACAAUUUCUGCAAAAAAUAGUUAUAUUCUUCAGGAAAAAAUAACAAAAACAAAGUGGCCUUUAUACAUUAGGAAAGACUAAAAUUGACAUAGUUAAGCAUGAUUUUUUUUUUCUUGUUGAAAUAAUUCUAAUCUUAUUGGUUUCUAACGUUCAAUUUAAUUGAUACUUGUAACACUGCCCAAAGAAUUUAAUUGAUCAAGUAGUAAGUUCUUGAUAAGAACAACGAUAUGUACCUGCAAGGAUCUCAUCUCGUAGAACCGACUCGAUAACGUUGCCGAGAAAAAAUUGUGGAACCACGAGCGAAGAUAUCAGAGCUAGAGGACCUAAAAUCCACACGAGCGAUCCUGUGCUGUCCUUGAAGGGGGAAGAAACCAGCUUCCUCUCUUCCACCAUCUGGUGAGUCAAUCCGCAGAAAGACACAGAACCCGACUUCCCACGAAAGGGGUCAAAGCUGCCCCUCGCGUGAGACCCAGACCGGAGGACCGCGUCGAAAUCCCUCGCGCUAACCAAGGAUCCAACGUUCGAAUCAACACUGGACGGAUUCGCCUCUUUUACCGCGCCGUUGGAGUUCUCUGAAUCGGGCAAAUAGGCUAACACCUUGCCCGGCAGAAUCGAUCGACCUUUCAGAAAUCAACCGAAGCAACAUCGAGAUGUCAUUUUUCUUUGAGAUUCCGUCGACGGAGGAGAGAGAAUUUACCUGUGGAUGCGUUCCGGAAGCGGAAACUGCGGCCGUACCAUCGAAGGUUAACAGGAGGAAGCUGCAUCCAAAAAGUCCAAAAGGGUCAGGAGCAUGUGGGGUUAGGGUUUUAGGGGGGGGUUUUGGAUUCUCGGAGUCGCGAUGGGGGGACGAGAUCUUACGACGGCGGAAGGGCCGGAGAGGCUUCUGCGACGGGGGCAGGAGGGAGGAGUAGAGGAAGGAGGCGAGAGUUGGAGAAGGCGGCGGUGCACGCAGCAAACGGACUGUAGCCGCGUCGUCAUCUCCUCCGGAUGCGGUGGUCGCUGGGAAAUCCAAAAACCCACUGUGGCCUGCUACUGCUACUACACGAAACCCUCAUCGGAUAAAAUGUAACAUGAUUUUACAAUAUUAUAUUAUGUUAAUAUUAAUACUGUAUUUCUAAAAGUAUCGAAAAGAA